rnacentral:lncRNA from 1 species
AUCCUCAAGAUUUUGGGGUUGGAGGGAUGGGGAAGGUGUUGGGGUGUGGCUGAGCCCCUCCUGGGGGUGUUGUUGGGUUUUUGGGGUGUUUUUGGGGUUUUUUGAGUGGUUUGGGGGUCUUUUUGGGGUGGUUUUGGGGUGGUUUUUGGGGCGGUUUUGGGGUGGUUUCUGGGGUGGUUUCUGGGGUGGUUUUGGGGGUGGCUUUUGGUGUGGUUACAGGUCUGGGAUCCUCAAGAUUUUGUGGUUGGAGUGAUGGGGAAGGUGUUGGGAUGUGGCUGAGCCCCUCCUGGGGGUGUUGUUGGGUUUUUGCGGUGUUUUUGUGUUUUUUGGGGUGGUUUUGGGGUUUUUGGGGUGGUUUUGGGUUUUGGGGUGUGGCUGAGCCCCUCCUGUUGGUGUUGGGUGGAUUUGGGGUUUUGGAGUGUUUUUGGGGUGUUUUUUUGGUGGAUUUGGGGUUGGUUUUUGGGGUGGUUUUGGGUUGGUUUUUGGGGUGGUUUUGGGGUGUUUUUGGGACGGUUUUGGGGUGGUUCUGGGGUGUGUCUGAGCUCCUCCUUAGGGCGUUGGGUGGUUUGGAUGUUUGGGGUGGUGUUUGGGAUUUUUGGGGUGUUUUUGGGGUGUUUUUGGGAUGGUUUUGGGUUGGUUUUUGGGGUGUUUUUGGGAUGGUUUUGGGGUUGUUUUUGGGGUCGUUUUUGGGGUGUUUUUGGGGUGUUUUUGGGGUGUUUUUGGGAUGGUUUUGGGUUGGUUUUGGGUUGGUUUUUGGGGUGUUUUUGGGAUNAAUGGGUCCCACAGACCCCAUGGACACCACAGACCCCAUGGACACCACAGAUCCAAUGGGUCCCACAGAUCCAAUGGAUCCCACAGACCCCAUGGACACCACAGAUCCCAUGGACACCACAACCCCCAGAGGUCCCACAGAUACUGUAGAUCCCACAGCCCCCACACACCCCAUGGACACCACAGACCCCAUGGACACCACAGACCCCAUGGACACCACAGAUCCCAUGGACACCACAGAUCCCAUGGAUCCCACAGAUCCCAUGGACACCACACACCCCAUGGACACCACAGAUCCCAUGGACACCACAACCCCCAGAGGUCCCACAGAUACUGUAGAUC